rnacentral:rRNA from 1 species
AGAGUUUGAUCCUGGCUCAGGAUGAACGCUGGCGGCGUGCCUAACACAUGCAAGUCGAACGAAGCGCCUUUUGAGAUUCUUCGGAUGAUCGAUCGGUGACUGAGUGGCGGACGGGUGAGUAACGCGUGGGUAACCUGCCCUGUACAGGGGGAUAACAGCUGGAAACGGCUGCUAAUACCGCAUAAGCGCACGAGGAGACAUCUCCUUGUGUGAAAAACUCCGGUGGUACAGGAUGGGCCCGCGUCUGAUUAGCUGGUUGGCAGGGUAACGGCCUACCAAGGCAACGAUCAGUAGCCGGUCUGAGAGGAUGAACGGCCACAUUGGAACUGAGACACGGUCCAAACUCCUACGGGAGGCAGCAGUGGGGAAUAUUGCACAAUGGGGGAAACCCUGAUGCAGCAACGCCGCGUGAGUGAAGAAGUAUUUCGGUAUGUAAAGCUCUAUCAGCAGGGAAGAUAAUGACGGUACCUGACUAAGAAGCUCCGGCUAAAUACGUGCCAGCAGCCGCGGUAAUACGUAUGGUGCAAGCGUUAUCCGGAUUUACUGGGUGUAAAGGGUGCGUAGGUGGUGAGACAAGUCUGAAGUGAAAAUCCGGGGCUUAACCCCGGAACUGCUUUGGAAACUGCCUGACUAGAGUACAGGAGAGGUAAGUGGAAUUCCUAGUGUAGCGGCGAAAUGCGUAGAUAUUAGGAGGAACACCAGUGGCGAAGGCGACUUACUGGACUGCUACUGACACUGAGGCGCGAAAGCGUGGGGAGCAAACAGGAUUAGAUACCCUGGUAGUCCACGCUGUAAACGAUGGAUACUAGGUGUGGGGGGUCUGACCCCCUCCGUGCCGCAGUUAACACAAUAAGUAUCCCACCUGGGGAGUACGAUCGCAAGGUUGAAACUCAAAGGAAUUGACGGGGGCCCGCACAAGCAGCGGAGCAUGUGGUUUAAUUCGAAGCAACGCGAAGAACCUUACCUAGACUUGACAUCUCCUGCAUUACCCUUAAUCGGGAAAGUUCCUUCGGGGACAGGAAGACAGGUGGUGCAUGGUUGUCGUCAGCUCGUGUCGUGAGAUGUUGGGUUAAGUCCCGCAACGAGCGCAACCCUUAUUGUUAGUUGCUACCAUUUAGUUGAGCACUCUAGCGAGACUGCCCGGGUUAACCGGGAGGAAGGUGGGGAUGACGUCAAAUCAUCAUGCCCCUUAUGUCUAGGGCUACACACGUGCUACAAUGGCAAGUACAAAGAGACGCAAUACCGCGAGGUGGAGCAAAACUCAAAAACUUGUCUCAGUUCGGAUUGUAGGCUGAAACUCGCCUACAUGAAGCUGGAGUUGCUAGUAAUCGCGAAUCAGCAUGUCGCGGUGAAUACGUUCCCGGGCCUUGCACUCACCGCCCGUCA